ACUAGCAAAUAAGCCUCUUAAGGAGAAUUUGUGAGAUACAUCUGGCAAUUCUGUGCUUGAUAUGGAACACACCAUGGAACACCCUGGUACCAGCCUAGAGCAAAUUUAAGAGCAAAGUCCACAGAAUUAGUAAUUUAUUCUCAGGGCCUUUUACAUAGGCCCCUAAAACAUUUAAAUUGUCUUUCUCACUCUAGAGACUUAGCUGAAAACGUCCGUGUGUUUUUAGCCAUUUUUCAUGUAUAUAAUAUGUUGUUAAUACAAAUGUCAGAAAGAGAAACCAAAUCAAAAGGCAUUUCAAAAACUAGGAAUCAUGUGUGUGGAAAAAAUAUGUUUUAAGAUUAAAGAUUCUUACAAAUCUUACCAAAGCUAGUUUGACUUUGAUACUGAAGGCUUCAUAUAAUAGUCUUUGAUAUAAUCUUAGAGAAUUACAGAAAGCAAUGUAAAUAUUGCAUUAAUUUAUGAAAGUUAAUGCAGUGGUGGCCUAACUUGUACCUGGAAAAUUUAACUUUGUGCCUCUUUUGAUCCAACAAUGACUUAUCUAGUUAGUCCCUAGGCUGGAAGCUUGAGACAUGCCAGGAUCUGGUAAUCUUGGUGUUGUACAGUACAGUUAAGUGUUGCAUUAAGAAUGCCAGUCUUUUCUGUCCUCUGACCUUGUCUUCCCUUCUCUGGCCUCAUGGCUCUGCUCUUGUCUGCCUGCUUCUACCCAGUCUCCAGGCUCUCACCGCCCCCCAAUCCUUCUUACCCCUGAUCUCUUGCAUGUAAUCAUUUCUCAAGAGCACAUCUUGGCAUGGGUCUGCAAAUCUCUGCCUACCAUGAGGAGGUGUUGUUGGAGGACGAAAUCUGAAAAUCAUGGCUGGGAAAAAGACUGUUUUAAUGAAUAAAGAUAUUUACAUAUCCAGAUAAUUUUUGUUCACUUUAGUUUACAAUAUGGCUUCAGUGAGCUGCAUAGUUCUCCUAAGCAAGGAGGUGGAUUUCAUCCUCCUUACCACUUUCACCCUUGCCUACCCCAGGGACUGUCUGACAAGACCUAAUAUCAGAUUCAUCAGUGAGUAAGAAUCCCGAUUCUACGCAAAGAAAUUGAAUUGGUUCUGUUUUUUUCAAGAGAUGAAAUUGCUUCUUGUGGUUAUGAAGGCAGGUCCAUUAAUGAACAUAAGAGGAAGGACCAUGGAAAGGAAUAUAUCUCUUACAUAUUCACAGAAGAUUAUGCCAAGCAGGAAUACUGCAUAUAAGACCAAAAUUUCACUGGAAGAACCUGACUGAGGAAGUGAAAAGGAAAAGAUGGGAAAUAGGAAAACAUUUGAAAAUAAGGCUGUUGACAGGCUGGAGAGGAAGGAGGAGAUUGAAAAUUUAAAUUGUGCUACCUGAAACAAUGUAUUUUCAUGGAUACAAAUAUGUCUUUGCCUAUUUAAAAAAGUACUAGUUACUAUGAGGUAUGAUUUAUCCAUGUC
rnacentral:sRNA from 1 species